AAUGAAACGCUGGCGGCGCGCCUAAUACAUGCAAAGUCGAAGCGAGAAAGACGUAGCAAAUAACGUUUGUAAAAGCGGCGAAACGGGUGAGGAAUACAUGGGUAACCUACCCUCGAGUGGGGAAUAACUAGCCGAAAGGUUAGCUAAUACCGCGUACGCUCCUUGGACUUCGGUUCAGGGAGGAAAGCGAUACCGUGGGUAUCGCGCUCUUGGAUGGGCUCAUGUCCUAUCAGCUUGUUGGUGAGGUAACGGCUCACCAAGGCUUCGACGGGUAGCUGGUCUGAGAGGACGAUCAGCCACACUGGCACUGCGACACGGGCCAGACUCCUACGGGAGGCAGCAGUAAGGAAUAUUGCGCAAUGGGCGAAAGCCUGACGCAGCGACGCCGCGUGGGGGAUGAAGGUCUUCGGAUUGUAAACCCCUUUCGGGAGGGGAAGAUGGAAUGGGUAACCCAUUCGGACGGUACCUCCAGAAGCCAGCCACGGGCUAACUUCGUGCCCAGCAGCCGCGGUAA
rnacentral:rRNA from 1 species